CUAGACCAGAUCUGAAAACCUUACUGACAACUCUGGCAUCAAAAGUCUGGAUUGGAGAGACGCCCAGCAGUAAUAUGAUCAAUGUAUGCAGAGAAAACAUAAUGGAUGGUGCCAUGCGAGCCUUUACAAGAAGGAGUUUCAAUCCAGAGGCCAAAUUAAGCGUCAUAUUUAUGGAUGACUUCAUGCAAGCAGAAGGUUCAGUGGAUGAGGGGGGCCCUACACGGGGGUUUUUCCGACUGCUCUCAGAGAUAGCAGCCUAUUUACAGGGCCACAGUAAGAACCUGUCCCUGGACAGCCACGCAUUACACAGAGGUCUCUACAGAACCUAUGGAGUUAUGAUGGCUGUGGCGCUGCUGCAUGGAGGAGUGUUGCCUUCUCUUUCCGGAGAGGCUCUACCAAAACCUCUGCUCUACACCCACAUUACCACCCGCUCUCAAAGAGGUAGCAGAUCCAGAUUUGCAGUGGAAACUCAGAAAGAUCAGUGAGGCCGGUGAUAUAACAGAGGCUAGAGCUGCCAUUGAGGAAGCUGCAGAGAGCCUGUCCUUGUUGGGGUCCCUGAGGCGUCUCACCACCGUGGAGGGACGGGACCGGCUGGUUCAGGCUGCCACAAGUUUCUACGUGGAAGGACAAAAGAAGCCUCCCAACAAGCUACAGUGCUUGGACCAGAUUUGACUUAUGUUUUGAGGAAAAUGCUUGGACUUUCUGAAGGACUGAACACACUUGGUCUCCUGGACCUGAUGAAAAUUCACGCCAGCAUCUUGAAGGAGGUGUUUUCUUCAUCUGAGAGGCCUCUAAAGGCCACAGACUUGAUCUCCCUGUUCCAAGUGACACUGUCCCCUCCUGGAAGCAACCGGUGGCGCCUGGAGAAGAGAGUGGAAGGGUACUGGAGAGACUUUCUUCUAGAUGUGGAGGAUGGUGUGUUUGAGGUCACAAUGGAGCAAAUUUUGGUGUUUGCCUCUGGAGCCGACAGAGUACCCGCUCUUGGUUUUUCUCCUCACCCAACGCUGAACUUCAUUCACGACGCAGGGCGGAAGUACCCUGAAGCUAACACCUGUCUUGUAAAUUUGAAACUUCCUAUCCAUGACACUUACAGACAGUUCGCCAAGUUUAUGUGCGAUGGCAUUAUUCACGCUCCCACUUCUGGUCUGGCUUAAAGUCACUGACAGCUAUUUUCAUAAUGGCUGAACUUUGAAUGUCCUGCCUGCUAACGUUGUUCUCAGGUGAUGAUGUUAAGAUGAUUUGAGACUAGAGACCCUUGAGAGGAGCAUCAGAUGGGCAAGAGGGAGGAUUCUCCAGUUGGACGAUGCAGAUGAACUUCUUCCAUUAGUGACUCAAGAAGGUGUUGACUUUUGCCUAGAGAUUACGUCAUGCAUCAUGGAAAGGCUUUCAAGUUUGGAGACGCUUAAAGGUGGAAUUGUUUUCAACAUGCGUAGUCCACAGCUUGUCGUCCUGACUUUAGAUGGCUUGACUGACUGAUCAGGGGGUCUGACCAGUGUGAUUGUUAGUGUCUGUGAUUGUACAGGUGCUUAGAAGCUAUAAAAAAUGACUUGACCUCAAAAUAAAUACCAAAGCGAAAUAAAGUGUGUGAGCAUGUGGUAGUAAAACUAAAACUGCUUGCCUUCUCAACUACUUACACACUGUGUUGACUUAUUCAUCUUAAUUCAUAACUAAAGGACUGCCUUUGUAGAUAUCUUUAACAAACAAGUACAAAAAUGCUCCCAAUACAUAUUGGCCAGGGGCUCAUUACAUGCCAUGUUUUCGACAGUCUCUUGUAAUGUGUGAGAGCCACAGGCAGUACUUCAUCUCAGGCUGAUAUAAAUCCUGACUCUGUCCUCUACCACUUCCCUAACCAUUUAUAAUCAAAACACUAGUGGGGUGCAGUGUACAGCUUGGACAGAUAACAUUACACUGUUGUGGAGGUUGACUUCAGGGAAUAAAGUAAGAUUAUAAGAUUAUUGUAUUGUAAUGUCGUCAUCAUAUUGUAUUUUCUUUUUUCUUUCAUUACUGUUUUAAUGUUUUAUUUCUUUAAAAGCCCUUCUAGGGACGGGUGUUAAACACUAUGGUACACACAUCGGAUUCCUUUAUUUAGUUUAUCUAUGUUAGAUGUAUUGGUCCCUAAUAAAAAUAAACUAAAAUAAGACGGCUGGUCGUACCCAACCACUCGAGGGUAAGAAUACCAGCGUAAGCCAAUCAGGCAGCCAGCUCACCUGUGGAACAAAGAAGUCGGCUGGCCUCAUCCCUCAUCUGUGUGCAUGAUAUGCAAGUUUCCUUGCACCUUUAGCAGCAAAGCAGUGCAUUAGAGACCUCCGGGUAUCAAGCCCCAUUGGUCCGGACAGGUGAUUUUGGACGAUCCAGCUACCUAAUCACUGAAGAACACCUGAGAUUCCUGCUUUCAUGUGGAUUUGUAGCUACGCAAAUUGCUGAAAUCCUGGAUGUAUCAGUCAGUACAGUUAAACCA